rnacentral:rRNA from 1 species
UACGUAGGGUGCGAGCGUUAAUCGGAAUUACUGGGCGUAAAGCGUGCGCAGGCGGUUCGUUAAGUCAGAUGUGAAAGCCCCGGGCUCAACCUGGGAACUGCAUUUGAAACUGGCGGGCUUGAGUGUGGCAGAGGGGGGUGGAAUUCCGCGUGUAGCAGUGAAAUGCGUAGAUAUCGAGAGGAACACCUGCGGCGAAGGCGGGUUGCUGGGCUGACACUGACGCUGAAGCGCGAAAGCUAGGGGAGCGAACGGG